rnacentral:rRNA from 1 species
AACUAAGGCUAAAGGUGGAUGCCUUGGGAGGUAAAGGCGAUGAAGGACGUGGCUAGGCUGCGAUAAGCCUGGGGGAGACGCCGAGCGGUCUUUGAUCCCAGGAUUUCCGAAUGGGGCAACCUACCAGAGAAAACCUCUGGUGUCCGAUAUUAUUAUUAAUAUCGGAAGCGAACCCAGGGAACUGAAACAUCUCAGUACCUGGAGGAAAAGAUACCAAUUGGUAUUCCCUUAGUAGCGGCGAGCGAAAAGGGAUCAGCCUAAACCCGAGCAAGCCGUUAGGCGAGCGAGGGGGUUGCAGGAAUAAAGCGUUCUCUUUUUAGUAAAAGCUCUGGUGCAUGGAGCUUUUUAAAAGAGAGGUAAGGUUACAAACCAAGAUAUUAGCUGAACGAUCCUGGAAUGGACGGCCAGAGAAGGUGAAAGCCCUGUAAGCGAAAAUAUCUUGGCCUUACUGCUUUAUUUCCUAAGUACCUCGAGAAAAGAAAAUCUUGAGGGAAGCAAGCGAAACUACUCGCUAAGGCUAAAUACUUUACCUCACCGAUAGUGAACAAGUACCGCAAGGGAAAGGUGAAAAGCAGACCGGUAAGGUCGGUGAAAUAGAACCUGAAACCUUUAGCCGACAAAAGACUCACGGUCCGUUCAGGAUUGUGGGCUGCCUAUUGAAGAAUGAGCCGGCGACUUCACAGUGCUACUUUGCUUAAGCGCAGUCAAGCGCGAAGGCUUAGUGAAAGCGAGGGUUAAUACCCCAAACUUUUAAGUAGCAUUGUGAGACCCGAAACCAGACGAUCUUACCAUGGCCAGGAUGAACCCUGUCGAAAGGCAGGGGGAGGUCCGAACCCGUUGGUCUCGCAAAACCAUGGGAUGAGCUGUGGUAAGGAGUGAAAAGCUUGUCGCGUCUGGAAAUAGCUGGUUCUUCCCGAAAUAGCUUUAGGGCUAGCGUGGUAUUUAUUGCAUCGGAGGUAGAGCCACUGAUAAACUGGUAAGGGCCGAAAGGUCAGCUAGUUUGUCAAACUCCGAAUGCCGAUGCAAAAUAGCCAUAGUCAGUCUGUGGGGGAUAAGCUCCAUAGACAAAAGGGAAACAACCCAGACCAUCGACUAAGGUCCCUAAAUUUUAGCUUAGUGGAGAAGGCAGUGGUUUUUCUGAGACAGCUAGGAGGUUGGCUUAGAAGCAGCCAUCCUUUAAAGAAUGCGUAACAGCUCACUAGUUGAGGAAAACCGCGCCGAAAAAUAAACGGGGCUAAGCUAAAUACCGAAGUCAUGGUUCUAUGCCAUUUUUUUGGCAUAGAAGGUAGGGAAGCAUUCCGUAUGCGAUGAAGAUUGACUCGCGAGAGCAAUUGGAGCGUACGGAAGAGAGAAUGCCGGCAUGAGUAACCGCAAAUCAGCUGAAAUGGCUGAUCGCCGUAAAGACAAGGUUUCCUUGGCAAUGGAAAUCAGCCAAGGGUUAGGCAGGACCUAAGGUGUAGCCGAAAGGCGAAACCGAUGGACAGCUGGUUAAUAUUCCAGCCCUACUUUAAGUUGCGAUGGGGUGACGAAGGAAAUAAGAAAAAGAGGAGAAAUGGUUAUCCUUUGCUUUUAUUUAGACUGGAGAAAGAGGAAAAUCCCUUUCUCUGCCUUUAAUGGCAACAGUCGUAUAAAAGCAGGAGCUUGCUUUUGCAAGCAACUUUUUCGAAGAGCCUUCCAGGAAAAACCUCUAAGCAUAAACUUAAAGUACCUGUACCGUAAAACCGACGCAGGUGUCUGAGGCGAGUAGCCUAAGGCGAACGAGUGAGGUCUCCUCAAGGAACUCGGCAAAAAAGCGGGCGUAACUUCGGGAUAAGCCCUCCCCGUAUCCUUAAAGAUAUGGGGCGCAGCGAAAGUUUCUCUGGCGACUGUUUAUCAAAAACACAGCUCCCUGCUUAACUUGUAAAAGGAAGUAUAGGGGGCGACGCCUGACCAAUGCCGGAAGGUUAAAAACUUAAGGUUAAUAUUUCUUUUAAAGAAAUAUUAGCUUAUAAGUUUAAGCCCCGGUCAAUGUCGGCGGUAACCCUGACCGUCCAAAGGUAGCGCAAUUCCUUUCCGGGUAAGUUCCGGAGCGCAUGAAAGGCGUAACGACUGGAGAACUGUCUCGAGGAGAUGCUCGGUGAAAAUGCAAGCCUCGUGAAGAUGCGAGGUACUGGCAGCGGGACGAAAAGACCCUAGGAGCUUUACUGGGCUUACUCAUUGGUUUUAUUCUAUGGGUGCAGAGCGUAGCGGGGACCUGUAUAGGGCUUACCUUUUUAUUUAUAAAAAGGUAAGUGGCUAUGAAACUUCGAUUUCGGUCGAAGUGGAGCCGUCAAUGGAACACCCGCCAUCUAUAGGGUAAAAUCUAAUUCUAAGAAGAACUUAGAAGACAGUGAGUGAGGGCCAGUUUUGCUGGGGCAGCAGCCUCCUAAAGAGUAACGGAGGCGUUCAAAGGUUGGCUUAUCUUGGAUGGAAACCAAGACGAAAGUGCAAAGGCAUAAGCCAGCUUAACUGCAAGAGAGACAUCUCGCGCAGAGGCGAAAGCCGGACUUAGUGACCCGACGGUUCUUUGUAGAAAGGCCGGAGACAACGGAUAAAAGUUACCCUAGGGAUAACAGGCUGGUUGAGCCCGAGAGUCCACAUCGACGGCUCAGCUCGGCACCUCGAUGUCGGCUCACCCUAGCGCGGGGCUGGACAAGGUCCCAAGCGUCGGGCUGUUCGCCCGUUAAAAGGGUACGUGAGCUGGGUUCAGACCGUCGUGAGACAGGUCGGUUUAUAUCUGCUGUCAGCGUUUGGAAGCCUGAGGGGAGCUGGUCCUAGUACGAGAGGACCGGACUGGGGCAGCCUCUGGUGUAGGAGUUGUUUUUCCAAAAGCAGCGCUCCGUAGCUAUGCUGCCUAAAGAUAAGCGCUGAAAGCAUCUAAGCGCGAAGCUUAACCCAAGAUUAGGCUUCCUUAUUAGGCCACGGAUAGACGAUCCGUUUGAUAGGCUCCGACUGUAAGCCUAGUAAUAGGUUAAGGUUUGGAGUACUAAUGGCC